rnacentral:rRNA from 1 species
AUUGAACGCUGGCGGCAGGCCUAACACAUGCAAGUCGAGCGAGCGGCGGACGGGUGAGUAAUGUAUGGGGACUGCCCGAUAGAGGGGGAUAACUACUGGAAACGGUAGCUAAUACCGCAUACUAUCGGAUUACCCAGAUGGGAUUAGCUAGUAGGUGGGGUAAUGGCUCACCUAGGCGACGAUCCCUAGCUGGUCUGAGAGGAUGAUCAGCCACACUGGAACUGAGACACGGCCCAGACUCCUACGGAGGCAGCAGUGGGGAAUAUUGCACAAUGGGCGCAAGCCUGAUGCAGCCAUGCGGCGGGUAUGAAGAAGGCCUUAGGGUUGUAAAGUACUUUCAGCCGGGAGGCGUUACCUGCAGAAGAAGCACCGGCUAACUACGUGCCAGCAGCCGCGGUAAUAC